AAUAAAAAUGAUGAUAAUAAUAAUAUUGUCUAUUAUAAUAAUGAUAGUAAUGAUAAUAGGUUUCAUAAUCAUUAUAAUCAUUAACCACUUACACUAUUAGAAAUAUUAGAGCCAUAUUUCUAUAACUUUUAUCGUCACCAAAUUAUCGUUAUCCUUCCCUUUGUUUAUCACAAUUAUCAUAACGAUCAAAACUGUCAUUAUCAUCAUCAUCAGCAUCACUUUCGUCCCCUCAAUUAUGUCUAUCGCCAAACUCUUAGCUUUGCAACAUUUUGCUAUCUGGCUUUUGCAACAUCACACACGAACCGCAGACCAAAAGAGCGGGUGAAGGAAUUUCAUCUCAUUUGACAUUAUAGGAACACAAGCAUCCUCUUUGCUUCCUCUCACAGCAUCUUCCCGGCUUCCUCUCACAGCAUCUUCCCGGCUUCCUCUCACAGCAACUCCUUGGCAUCAUCUUGGGAGACAGAUCGACCGAGUCCACAAGAGCAACGCGCACCGGUGUAGAGUGAUGAACGUAUUUGAGCCAAUGCUCGUUUAAAUGUAUGCAGACAAGAGUUAUGGCGAGGCGAUGGUCGUCAAAACAAACCAGAAAGGUAAGAGAUGGCAACCUUUUCAAGAUGGCGACACAAAGACGAUGACGACGGACGUAUUUUUUUUUCUUUUGUUUAUCACUAGAAGAAAAAAAAGAUCUUGAAACAUAAUCUUAUAAUCUUGCUUCUGAGAUGUAUUUUUAAUCUUUGUGUUUUUUUU